rnacentral:rRNA from 1 species
GUGGGGAAUCUAGCGCAAUGGGCGAAAGCCUGACGCAGCCAUGCCGCGUGAAUGAUGAAGGUCUUAGGAUUGUAAAAUUCUUUCACCGGGGACGAUAAUGACGGUACCCGGAGAAGAAGCCCCGGCUAACUUCGUGCCAGCAGCCGCGGUAAUACGAAGGGGGCUAGCGUUGCUCGGAAUUACUGGGCGUAAAGGGCGCGUAGGCGGACAGUUUAGUCAGAGGUGAAAGCACAGGGCUCAACCUUGGAAUUGCCUUUGAUACUGGCUGUCUUGAGUACGGGAGAGGUGAGUGGAACUCCGAGUGUAGAGGUGAAAUUCGUAGAUAUUCGGAAGAACACCAGUGGCGAAGGCGACUCACUGGCCCGUUACUGACGCUGAGGCGCGAAAGCGUGGGGAGCAAACAGGAUUAGAUACCCGUGUAGUCC